AGUGAACGCUGGCGGUAGGCCUAACACAUGCAAGUCGAACGGCAGCACAGUAAGAGCUUGCUCUUACGGGUGGCGAGUGGCGGACGGGUGAGGAAUACAUCGGAAUCUACUUUUUCGUGGGGGAUAACGUAGGGAAACUUACGCUAAUACCGCAUACGACCUACGGUUGAAAGCAUUGGAUCUUCUGACCUUGCGCGAUUGAAUUAGCCGAUGUCGGAUUAGCUAGUUGGCUGGGUAAAGGCCCACCAAGGCGACGAUCCGUAGCUGGUCUGAGAGGAUGAUCAGACAAACUGGAACGGAGACACGGACCAGACUCCUACGGGAGGAAGCAGUGGGGAAUAUUGGACAAUGGGCGCAAGCCUGAUCCAGCCAUACCGCGUGGGUGAAGAAGGACUUCGGGUUGUAAAGCCCUUUUGUUGGGAAAGAAAAGCAGCAGGUUAAUACCCCGCUGUUCUGACGGUACCCAAAGAAUAAGCACCGGCUAACUUCGUG
rnacentral:rRNA from 1 species